GGGCGCUGCCGCUGCGUCGUACGGGGCUGUGCGUGCCGCGUCAUGUCACGUGCGUGGCGGUGUUUACAGCGGGCGGCGGCGGUUGCCGCGCGACCGGGCGGGGCCGGGCCGGCGGGCCCAGGUAGAAAAAGUAGUUAGGAUGUGAGCAAGAAACUUAAGAAAUAUACAGUCUACCACAGGGUGCUUUAGGCCUAAAUUCUUCUGGUGCUGUUACUGCCACCGUACGCACCGCUGUCCUUGUGCAGUGUAGAUAGGCACCUGCUAAACCCCUUUGGUAUUGUGAAGCUCACUUCGCCUGGGCCCUAAGGGAAGAGGCUCAUCUCAAGUCAGAAGCCGAGAGGAGCCUGCGCAUUGAAGUCAGUGACUUGAUUCAGAAACCUAAAUGGGAUCAGAGUUGUGCCAUAUAACACAAUGAGAAGAGUCCUUUACCUUCAGGUUGUCAGAUUUCUAAAGAAGGUUGAAGCCAUGAGUCUUCUCUACCGAAUGCAUUGUGUCAAGGAGGUUACAUUGGACUGUCCUCUAGUGGAACAGGUAUAGAAAUAAAGAAUGUCAUAAGAAACAGAGCGUCACCUCCAGCCAGCGUCACCUUUUUUCCCCCAAUGGAGCAGUAAUACAAGGGACUUUAGAUGUCCAGAGUACAGCAAUUAGCAGGAAAAAAGACAAUAGGAAACAGCUCCUUUGGCAGUAACCCAAGCUUCUCUUUUCAAUCAGCACUGCACUCAGAAAACUCUCUUCUUCUCUCUUUGUGGGAACUCAGCAUCAUUCUACAAAGUGUUUCACUGUUUUGGGGACUACAAACUGGUUUCAUUCCACUCUGUUUCUGGUCGGUUUUCUGUGUAGCCUGUAAGGAAAUCAGGCAGGGAAAGUACACUUCUCACUUCUUUUUAAAAGAUAGGGUAAGAGCUUGCUAUUUGUAGAGUUCCUCCUUCAGCUCCAGUGGCGUAAGCUAACUCCUGCUACAUGGAAAAAAUUAAAAUUCAAGAAGCUUGGAUUUAUUUGAAGUAACACCGACACAGAUCUGGGAUGAUUCCAUUAACAGCACUGCAGCCAUGCUGUGUUUCUAAAAGGAUAUCUAAAGCACCAUGAGGAAUUUACACGCAUACUCUCUGAAAGGGCUUGCAAUAAGAACUGUAUCCAAGGAGGAUGUCACACUUUUCCGUUCUCAAGUUCAACCUCUUCUCUGAGUGCAUCAGCAAGUUUCACCUCUUCUGAAACUGUACUGCCUGCGAGUUAUUUAUAAUCUCCUGCUGCUGCCCAUAACCCCAGCCAAGAAGAUCUAAGCAUAAGUUUUGUAAACAAAUAAAUUUGGACUCUCACCUUCUACUGAACAGGAAGAAAAAAGCCAAAACAGAAAGUGCUAUGUAAAGACCAACAGAUGGGUAAGGGUACAAGUUUACAUUGUUAUCAUUGACAAUAUUUGACAGAGGCAAAAAUAGGAAGCACGCUGUCUGUUAUCAGACCUGCAUGUACUGCUCUGCUGUAUCUAUCUUACCAGUAUAAAUUGUCCCAGUACCACACUAAGACACAUUCUCAUUUCCCACCUAUUCAGUUUUCUGGCUUAGGGUUUUUUUUUGGUCAUGCCAAGAUGAAAAUCAUGCCUAUGCUAUUAGAGUACUUCUAGCAAUGAUGCCCACCUAUCAUACCCUUAGUUGUUUGAGACUGAUUGAAGAGAGUGGGGAAAAAAACCCACCUUUUGAUAUGGCACUGAUUUUUCUGUCAAAGCAGUCAGACACAUUCUAUAUUAUAACUAUCUCAAUCAGCAUUCACACGUAGGGCUCUGAGCGAAGUAAUUAUUACAAAUCUAAAAGUUAAGGUUUUUUUUUUUUCAUUUGUUUUAAUCAAAGCGUUUCCUGUAUGGACAGAAAAAUAUUAAGCAAAAGAAUAAAUGGAUGAUGGAUAACAAAGUCUAUGAUUGUCAUCGCUUACGUCAGUUCUGGGGAUUUCAAGAUAUCCCUGAGAAUAUCCAGUGUUCAUCUGAAAAUACGCAAAUACUAAUCAGAGCUACUUAGCACAUCUUACUGAUGUGCAGCUGAAUCCCACUGAAUGGCAGCUUUUUCACUCACAAUAGUAGUCAGAAGUUUUUUUGAAAUGUUUUCCUCUUGGUUUAACUAGAUCAGCUGAAAAAUUAGUGUUGGACUUCCUAUGUGAAACUUUUCACAUCUCUUCCGUUUUCUCUCUUUGCAUCUUGCAGACGCAAAUUACAUUGAACAUAUUUCAGAUAAGUAUAUUUAUCUAUAAAAGAGACAGAAUACAUUUGUAAAAGUCAGCUAAACCGUUUUUUUUCUUGUCUUCUCUCCUGCACCAUCAAGUGAGUUCUAUGUGUUCUUGGGAGUCUUGCAAGGGAAAAACUGCAGUAAAUAAAUGCCUUUCCAAACUAUCAUUUGUUGAG